rnacentral:lncRNA from 1 species
AACCAUGCAAACUUGUUGAUGCUCCAUCACCUUUAUACAUGUUUUCUUAUUUGUUUUUACUUGUUAUCUUUAUUCUUUUCUUUCUAGUGUACCUGCCUUUUGAAAUUGUGUAACUUGGAUGAAUAUAUCUUCUUACAUUCGCAGUUGUUUUUAUGGUUAACUUGGGGUGACAGUGCUGGUCAUAGUACUCGGAUCUGUAUCUAUACGGUUCUAUUACUAACGAUAUUAUACAAUAGCCGAUUUCCUUUUUCUCCUCUCAGCGAGAUGCAAACAAGAAAGCGAAUAUGAUGAUUUUUUUUUUUGUAAUUGGAGUAUGAUUAUCUGAUCUUGUAAUAUGGUUGACUCCUGAAUUAUCAUUUUGUAAAGAAGUUCACUACGAGUAUGCUUUCAGGCUGUCACACAUUUCAAUGAAGUGACCACCCUGAAUUUGUAAAAUUGAUCAAUUAAAAUUUGUAACAUUGAGGAGGAGGUCGUCAGCAUGAAGUCGUGGGUCUUCACUUUUUCCUUCUUGAGGGAUACAUUUUCAUGACAGCUUUAUAUUAAUAUGGCAGUUUAUAUUACUUGGCAAAUACGGAUGCAUCAUUUUAGAUUAUACUCUCUCCGUAUCUUUAUAUAAGGCGUAUUGGUUUUUUGAUAAAAUUUCACAAUGUAAGGUGCAUUUGUUCUAAUUUCUCGUAAUUCCGAUCAUGUAUAUCUUCCCUGAUUUCAUGUAUUUCUCCUUGUAGAGAAAGAAAAGGAAACGGUCUCUCCCGAUUGCAUGUAUCACUUCCUUUCGUUGCCUAAAUAAUUUAUUUGUCGCUAAUCUACGAAUUAGACAAGUUAGACAAGCAGAAUUUCAUCCUAAAUAGUCCAUAAUUAUGUGCCUUGAAAAUAAUACACCUUAGAUAAAAGAAUGAAGAGAGUAUCAACUAGAAAAUCAGGAGGCUCGUCCUGUUAGGUAAAAGUACUGCCGUACUGGAGCCUUAGAGCCUUCUGCUUUACUCCCUCCAUUCCCUAAUAUAAGGUGUAUUUGGUUUUUCAAAAAUCAAAUGAGUGCACGUUUGACCGAGUUUUAAGAAAAAUAUAUCAAUAUCCACAAUAUAAAAUUUAUAUUAUUUGUUUCAUCAUGAAAAGUAGAUUCAUAUUUUACCUAUUAGGUAUUGCAGAUGUUAUUAUUUUAUUCUAUAAUAUUGGUCAAACAUUCAAAUGGUUGACUUGCACAUAAACCAAUACACCUUAUAUUCUGAAAUGGAGGGUACUAGAUAAUGGGACAGUGGUUAAACAAAAUAUAAGGAAAAUUGUGGCAUAAAACAUGCAUUCUCAUAGACCGCUGUUGCGGGUUGGAUAGAAUUGUCACCAUUCAGCGUGACUUCUAUAACUUCCAUACAAUUUGCCUUCACAUUUAUUUUUGCGGAUGCUUCCACAUUAACUUGCUACAUGCACAUGAGCCCAUCUCUGAGAGCCUGGACUUCCGAAGUACCAACAUCUUAAACGAAGGGAAUCCCACUGGCCAGGAAAUAACCCUUUAUCGUCUCAAAUGAUAGCGCCAGUUCCUCCAUAGCCACUGUCACUAACAAAUGUAGUGUCAACAUUUAGUUUAAAGAGGCCUUCUUUUGGCUUUUGCUAGCCAUGUCUUGGAUUUGCACCUUGGUUCCCUCGGCUAAUCCUCCUUCCGAGCCGUAAGAUUCAUACUACUGAUAGUUUCAUCAUGCCGAGAAGGAAGUAAUAGAACCGAGCCCCCGUGUCGCUCCCUUGUGACCGGCUCGGGCGGACGAGAAAGACCUAACGGAGCCUCCACCACAGAUCCUUCUGGUGAUGCAGAUCUUGCCCGAGUUGCAGAAGAUCUAUGUGGUGCAUGCUUCGCCUCUGUUGAUGAUACAUUUGGAUUUGCUUAUGACCUUGAGUAUGGUUAUGUCCCCACCCACACCACCACCGCCAGAGACCAACCAAGCGCUCAUCUUUGUGAAGCAUGGAUGGUUGGGCGCCUAUUGUCUUCCACUCGCAUGAGCCCAUCGGCCAGGUGGUUCCUGCUGGUGACGAGGUUGUGGCGUUCAAUACAUUGACGUCUGUUUUUGAGGCUCUAUUCGCUAAACAAUUUCAAGAAUUAAUAGCCAAAAUGGGUGGACCUGACAAUGACGGAUUGUUGCCUCAUGAAGGGGAAGGCAGCCAGGGGCAAGAGCAAGAGGGUUCGCUCUAGCCAUCGUGUGUUCAUCUUGAUGAAGAAACCUUUUGGGAGCAAAAGUAAGAACAGUGAGACCACAGAGAAGGCAUCAACGACUGCUUGAUGGACGAUGUUCGAUGCCAUUAUCGAUGUGUUUUUGGUAGGGGUUUCUUUGUGAUGUUGCGAUCCAUUGGUUGAUUUGUGGUUAUAAUGGGUUGGGAGCACAUAUUCGUCUUCUUGAAUGGUCACGGAAAUUCAUGCUUUGGAAGUAGACAACACAUGGUCAUACAGUAACGAUUUUGACCUGAUUUUGUUAAUUAAUUAGUCAAUUCUAUUUGAGUGAAGUGUUUUGGUGUCUAGUCUCAUCUGCACCCGGUCAUAACAAGAAUCACAACAAAUUUAAAAAAAUCAAUUUUUUUGCAUGGUAGAAAAUUUAUUGCGUGAGGUCCGCUUCAAUUUUCAUACCAUUUAGACAUCCGAGUACUCUCAGCAAAAAAGGCAAAUCGGGCCAGGACAACGUAUGAAUAGUAAAGUUUUUUAUAGACCACGGAUUUGUCUUUUUUGGCGAGAGCCGCUCAGAUGUCCAAAUGAUUUGAAAAUUAGAGCGGGCAUCACACAUCAAAUUAUCUAUCGCAAAAAUAGAAUUUUUUAAAAUUUUCUAGUAUUUGUGUCGAUUUUCCUUCAGGGUGGGUGCAAAUGAGCCUGGGCUCAUAAGUGGAUUAUCAAUUCUAUUCUACUUAAUUAAUUGAUGAGACAAUUCUUAUUCUUUCUUCAAAAAAAUAGCAAUGCUAUUUUUUGUGGGAAAAACUUCCGAUCUAUUCAUUUUCAAUCAUGGUAGUGCAACAAACAUUAAAAUAAUAAAAAUUACAUCAAGAUCCAUAGACCACCUAGUGACGACUACGAGCAGUGAAACGAGCCAAAGGUGCGCCGCUAUCAUCGCCCCUUCUUCGUCGGAGCCGAGCAAACCUUGUUGUAGUAGACAGUUGGAAAGUUGUCGUGCUAAGGCCCCAUAUAGAACCAAGGCACCAAAACAACAAUCGCCGUCGACGAAGAGUGUAGAUCAGAAGGAACCAAUCUGAAGACACACGAAAAUAGGCGAACGACGAAUAUAUCCAAGCAAAUCCACCAAAGAUAGAUCCGUCGAAGACACACCUCCACACGCCCACCGGCUGAUGCUAGACGCAUCAUCGAAACGGGGGCUAGGCUAAGAGACCAACAUUCCAUCUUGAAGGAGCCGUGCCGUCUCGUCUUCCAAAGCAGGACACAAACACUAACAAGACUCGAAAAAAAAUCUAAAAAUGAAGCCCUUCCACCGGCAAGGGCUGGGAUCCAUUCCGCCUCCACGGCCCUAAGGCCACCGGAGACAGAGACAAGGUAGACCGAUGGGAGGCAGACUUCAACAAUAUUUGAAAGUUCAGAUUAGGGAUAUACUUAUGUUUUAGGAGCAAUAAAGACUUCAACAAUUUACGUAAAGGAGACGUAGGUGUAGCAUUUUCGCUAAAAACGUGAGAGCAGUUACAAUUUAAAUGAGUGUUAGUUAGUCCUAGCCAUGGACAGCCCGACCUGAAAAAGCCCGACCCGGCCUGGCCUGACGCUGCUCUUGGACCGGGCCCGGGCCUAGAUUUUGAGUGUUAUUAGUACGUAUGGAUUUUGUAAAUCUUUGCGUAAGAAAAGGAUUUUCGGAGAUCGUGAGAAAGGGUGCGGCGGUGUGCGAGGGCGAGAGGGCAGCGAACACACACGUGCCCGCAACCGACUACCGGGGCCCACCUGGCGGCCCGUAGAUGGCCUGAGAAUUCCCCACCUUGAGAUCGGCUUGUUAGAAAACAACCGUGAGAUCGGGUUCGGGCAGGCCGCCGAGUCGUCGUCGUCGUCGAGCUCGAUCCCCACCCCACCCCACCACCCGCCCCGCGCCGGCGCGCCCCCGGAGAUCGGAGCAGGAUCCCGGCCUCGCCAUGAAUCCGGAGUAGUAAGUCGCUCGCUCUCGCCUCUCCUCUCCCUCUCUGGUUGAAUCAAUUGGGGGGCCGGGGAUCUCGCCGGAUCUGGCGCCUGCUGCCGUCGAUUCGCGGGAUUCAGCUCUUAGCCCCCUCCUACAUUCGGCGGAUUUCGACCGUGGCCAUGCACGAUCUUCGUCAUGCUAGGGUAAAAGCGCAGGGAUAGUACUGUUCGUGUAGGAGGAUCUUCCUUGGGUGCGAAGCGAUCGCGUGACCGACGCGCCGCCGGGCUCGCCCUCCUCCAGCUCAAACCGCCGGCCGGCGAGAGGUCAUUAGGGUAGCGAGAGGACGCCACAGAUGGCUUCCCAGCAGGGCAAGAAGAUGGAGUUGGGAUGUGGUGGAGUGAAUGUUGCAUGCUAGAUGCACACACACACAAACACAAACACGGUUGUUUGUACCAGAUGAUUUUCCCCACAUAAUCAGAGAUGGCUUCGGUGACGAUGACAAGCAGGAAGGACCCAGCUGCGAUGAACCUUUGUUCGACAGUGGUUUAGCCAUGUUAUUAGGUUUCCUGUCACUGCCCAACUCCUGUGUUUUUUCAUUCCUCUGUUUUGCACAAGAGUGAUCUUCGUUUUCCUGCAUUUUUUCUAUCCUAUGUUCCAAACGGGGUCUUAUUGUUUUUCUUUUAAGCAAAUGCGUUCUUACCGUGGACUGCUGUCACGGGUGUUGUUGUUUCAUUAGAAGGAUGCUUGCUCUUAAAGGGUGACUAUGGUGAUAGGCCUAUGACUGCUCUGAAAACACUUCUCGUUGUUUUAUGGACAAGAAAUUGUUGGUUAGCAUGUUGGUGGUGUGACUAUAUGAUGCUUAGUGCAUCCAUAUGUUCAUUCUACAAGCACGAUCGGACGCCUUGCUCAAUCCGAUUGGCGAUGUUUUUGUAUUGUGCACAUGGGUAUUGCUUCUGUACCUUAUGAAUAUACAUCAUCGCUCACGGAAUCGUUCUCUUGGUUAGUGUUGUAGCUGUUGUGUAGCUUCACCAUUGGAAACUGUUACUUAUCUAUUCAGCUUCCUUUUUCUUUCUUCUUUUUUUUUCGAGAAAACGCAAAGACUUUGCAUUUCUUUUCAUUGAAAAGUGGGGGAACAGGUUACACGCCUCCUAGGAUAUCUGUCUAUGAAUUAAUGCACAAACUUCUAAGCCUCAAGAUGUUGAUUCUAUCCAAUUUUGGUAUUAGUUAUCUUAAAUUUAUUCAUCUUUGUAUUGCUGCUCAAUGUUCUAAGCAUGGAUAUAAUGACUAUGUCUCAUUUUGUUAUUAUUGCCAUGUAAAUGUUGGCAUUACUUGUUUAUUUCGUAUAGUAAGUACAUUUGAUUGAGACUAAUAUCCUGUUGCUUGACAUGGCAGUGACUAUCUCUUUAAGCUUCUGCUUAUCGGAGACUCAGGUGUUGGCAAGUCAUGCCUUCUCUUAAGAUUUGCCGUAAGAAUUCCUAUCUAAAGCAUGAUUUGUUCACUCUCUUUUAUAGGUCUUCCCUUUUUUAAUAUGCAUCUUGAUCUUAAAAGUUUGAUAUAAGUUGUCUUCGGGAUAUCAUGGAAACUGUCAAUUUAUUUUUAGCCUCAGUAAACUGUAUGAUUUCCCACUACUUAAUACGAAUGAGGAGUUCAUUGUUGGUAGCUACUGUUUCUUAACAACAUGGAGAUGAUCCCUAUAACAAUCUUGUUGUUACUAGUUAAUUUACUCUGACCUCCUUAAUAUUGACUCUUUUGGCAGGAUGACUCAUACCUGGAGAGUUAUAUCAGUACUAUUGGUGUUGAUUUCGUAAGUAUAUUUACUUUCUUGGUCUGAGUGUUAAUGUUCUGGGUACCUUAAUUGAACUUUAGCCUUGUUUUCUUCCAACUUUGUCGAUAGAAAAUACGUACCGUGGAGCAAGAUGGAAAGACUAUGAAGCUGCAAAUCGUGAGUCUAUUCUUUCUUUCUUUAUGUCCAGUAUGCAUGUACCAUCGAAUCCAGAUUUGACAAAAUAGAAGACUUCAUUGGGAAACAUUUCAUUUAUAGCCCUCUUUUGUUUUGUGGAGUUUGCUGGAUUUUCCCUUUGCAUAAUAUAGCAUGCCGUUAUUCAUCAGUAUUUAUGUGGUUGUUAGUUGAGGCCAGUUCACAGGAAACAGAAACUCCACUAUGCCUGAAUAUGUAGGCAGUUGCACAACCCCUUUUUACCUUGUGUUUUUUUUAGUUCCAUCCAUUUAAAUUACUGUUGAACAUAAAGAAUAAGAGUAGUUUAGCCCAUUAAAUUAAAUGUUUAUAUUAAGUUUCUUAGUUCACAUAAAGAAUCACACUUUCAAGAUGUUUUUAGGUACCAAAGUGAUGCCCAUUUUGAACAUCAUAUAUAGGGGCCUGAUAGUAUGUCAUUUAAAUACUAGGGUGGUACGGUAGCUCAUGCUGCACCUACUGUUGGCAUUUGGCGAUUCUUCCUUCCUUUUGUGUGACACAUUACAUUUAGUGAUGCAAGAUAUCCAUUUCCUUUUCUUUAAACCCCUCUUUGGUACCUUUGUUUUUAUCAGUGGGACACUGCUGGGCAAGAACGCUUCAGAACUAUUACUAGCAGCUACUAUCGAGGGGCUCACGGGAUCAUUGUAAGUUUGUUUAUGUGAAAUCUUAUUUUUAUUUUUCACAUGCUAUUUAACAUGCAUAAAUGUUCCAGUUUUUAUAUAUUUUGAAUACAUAUAUACAAAUGGGGUUGCAGAUUGUCUAUGACGUGACAGACCAGGACAGCUUCAACAAUGUGAAGCAGUGGUUGAACGAGAUUGAUCGCUAUGCUAGUGAGAAUGUUAACAAGCUUCUUGUAGGGAACAAAUCUGAUCUCACUGACAAAAGAGUUGUAUCAUAUGAGACAGCGAAGGUACCUUAUGCUUUACUCGUAUCUGCUGAAGCAUUCUUUCUGCUCUUUGUGUUUACAUUUGGUGUAUGCAGGCAUUUGCUGAUGAGAUUGGCAUCCCAUUCAUGGAGACCAGUGCAAAGAAUGCCUUGAACGUUGAGCAGGCUUUCAUGGCUAUGUCUGCUUCAAUCAAGGACAGGUGUGUGUUCCCAGACGGUUUAAUUAGCACAGGCCAUCCUACUAGUCCACUUCUUGUUGACUACCAUCAUUUUACACUUUAUUUACUGCUCAUUGAUGCUCUGUUCCUAUAGUAUCAUAACCAAAAUUGCCCUACACUCUUUAGCAUGUUGCUGUUAACUGUUCUAUGUUAUUCCUCACGGUUUUGUUCUAUAUACACCUCAUAGAAAGAGCAUAUAAGUAUGAAUAAAAAUCUUGGUUUCCAGGAUGGCGAGCCAGCCAGCCGCAAACAGCGCUCGCCCAGCCACGGUGCAGAUACGCGGGCAACCUGUCGAACAGAAGACGAGCUGCUGCUCUUCUUGAAAUGCAGGCAGCCGCCAUCCGUGUUACCCAAAUGGAGACGCAAACUUGGCCGCGCCAUCCUCGAGUCCAUGCUUCUACAUAGGCCUACUACAUCUUACACCUUCAUUCCAUUCUUUCUAGUGUACUUAUUAGCUCUUGAAUCGUUGGACUUGUAACACCGGACGGAGUUUGGAGACAGUAUCUUCUUCUAGUUGUGUAUCUUGAAUGGUUAUAUGUUACGAUUUGCAGCUGUUGCUUUUCUUGCCUAAAUUUAAGGCGAUUUCUACUUUUACUUGACCAAAAUGUUCCGUUCUUCAAAAUAUUAUCUGACAGUAUGCUUAUCUUUGUGGUAAAAAAGGUCCUGAUUAUAAUUUUCAAG